AGCCUUCUUAUAACCCAUCUAUUAGCAAGUUCACAGCCUUGGAGUUUAGCUUCCCACGCUCAUUUUGUUCUUUCCUCUCUAUGUGCAGCGAAAUAUUAGGAGAAGAAAGGGCAAGUUUUAGUCACUUGAAAUACUUAGAAUGAGGACAAAUGAUCUCCAUGAAAGAUGUAGAGUUAUGUCUUGAGAGUAAAUUCCAAGUGGAAGUUCCUUGAAAGAAGCUUUAGUUUGUGACAAAACCCUUCCCCAUUGCUGCGACCUAAUGUUGUUAAAAAGAGAGUACAAGGACUAUUUGUGUUAUCUAAUGGUUGGACUAUGACUCUAGCUCCUUGGAAGGUGUUUUAAGAGUGUAAUCAAACGAAGUAGGUAGACGAACAACUUGGAGACAACCAAGUGUACGACGUAUUAAAUAACAAGUUAGCAGCAGGAAAGAGGUGACAGGAAGUGGACUCUUGGGUGGAGACUGCUCCAUAAACCCCAAGUUUAUUGAGAUUCAUUCUCACCCCGCGUUAUGGGGACAUAUUUCAGGUAUCGCAGCAGUUGACGAUCGUUCUCGGGGCAAGAGGUCCGUGGUUGAUGAGUAGAUCUGAGAAUAGAUGUUGCCUGCUUAUUUUGGGAGUCUGUUGUAUGUAUAUGUACACUGCGAUGAUUAAGUUUAUGUAGGUUGAUGUAGGAUGUUGUAGUUAUGACACAUAGCCACCUUUUAAUGUGAUAUAUAUAGAGUUAUGGA